rnacentral:rRNA from 1 species
CCAUGGCGAACGACGGGUGGCCGGCCUGAGAGGGUGACCGGCCACACUGGGACUGAGGCACGCCCCAGACUCCUACGGGAGGCAGCAGUGGGGAUUAUUGCACAAUGGGCGCAAGCCUGAUGCAGCAACGCCGCGUGAGGGAUGACGGCCUUCGGGUUGUAAACCUCUUUUAGUAGGGAAGAAGCGAAAGUGACGGUACCUGCAGAAAAAGCACCGGCUAACUACGUGCCAGCAGCCGCGGUAAUACGUAGGGUGCAAGCGUUGUCCGGAAUUAUUGGGCGUAAAGAGCUCGUAGGCGGCUUGUCGCGUCUGCUGUGAAAUCCCGGGGCUCAACCCCGGGCCUGCAGUGGGUACGGGCAAGCUAGAGUGCGGUAGGGGAGAUUGGAAUUCCUGGUGUAGCGGUGGAAUGCGCAGAUAUCAGGAGGAACACCGAUGGCGAAGGCAGAUCUCUGGGCCGCUACUGACGCUGAGGAGCGAAAGCAUGGGGAGCGAACAGGAUUAGAUACCCUGGUAGUCCAUGCCGUAAACGUUGGGAACUAGAUGUAGGGCCUGUUCCACGGGUUCUGUGUCGUAGCUAACGCAUUAAGUUCCCCGCCUGGGGAGUACGGCCGCAAGGCUAAAACUCAAAGGAAUUGACGGGGGCCCGCACAAGCGGCGGAGCAUGCGGAUUAAUUCGAUGCAACGCGAAGAACCUUACCAAGGCUUGACAUAGCCGAGAACGCUGUAGAGAUACAGAACUCUUUGGGACACUCGGUUACAGGUGGUGCAUGGUUGUCGUCAGCUCGUGUCGUGAGAUGUUCGGGUUAAGUCCGGCAACGAGCGCAACCCUCGUCCUAUGUUGCCAGCACGUUAUGGUGGGAACUCAUGGGAUACUGCCGUGGUCAACACGGAGGAAGGUGGGGAUGACGUCAAAUCAUCAUGCCCCUUAUGUCCUGGGCU